CGUAGGUGGCAAGCGUUGUCCGGAAUUAUUGGGCGUAAAGCGCGCGCAGGCGGUUCCUUAAGUCUGAUGUGAAAGCCCACGGCUCAACCGUGGAGGGUCAUUGGAAACUGGGGAACUUGAGUGCAGGAGAGAAGAGUGGAAUUCCACGUGUAGCGGUGAAAUGCGUAGAGAUGUGGAGGAACACCAGUGGCGAAGGCGACUCUUUUGGCCUGUAACUGACGCUGAGGCGCGAAAGCGUGGGGAGCAAACAGGAUUAGAUACCCUGGUAGUCCACGCCGUAAACGAUGAGUGCUAAGUGUUAGAGGGUUUCCGCCCUUUAGUGCUGCAGCAAACGCAUUAAGCACUCCGCCUGGGGAGUACGGCCGCAAGGCUG
rnacentral:rRNA from 1 species